GAAUGGCAGUUUCGUAAAUAAGUCAAAAGUGAGGGUGCAUUCUAAACCCUCUUUUGUGUCUCCUUUAGGUUCCACGUGUGCUGCUUUUUCUCCCACAAAAUUACUUUUUUGGUUCUUUUCUCUCUCUUGCUCUCUGGUUCUCUCCUCCUACUGCCUCAGCUGUGUUGGACCAAACAAUUGAAGGAUCAAGUAUGAAUUUUGACUGUUGAGAAAGAGGAGGGCCAGGGAAGAAGUUGAAAGAGACAAAGCUUUCUAUGAAGUGAAGAAGGAGCUUAUGCGUGGAAUUUAGUAAGAAGACUUGAAAAGUCACUAUUCCGUGGACACAAGUAAUCUACUGUCUUUAAGGAGAAAAUAUUCAAGCUCGAGUUACUGCAUAUUGACGAGAAACCUUCUCAUGUCAAAAUCGGAAAAUGUAUAAAAUUGCAAUCUUUCACAAUUGCUUGUGAAAGCAAGGAGCUUUUCUUUUGGUUAUUGCUCUAAAUCACUACCGAUAAUUGUCUGUGUAGUCUUCUUUUCCCCUUUUCAAGAUCUCUUAGAAGUCUGCGCUGAUUUCUUCUGUUUUUGGGACUGAUGGCUUAUGAACAUUUAAGUACUCUUCACACUUGCUUAAUCUAUUAAGAAUUUACUUUGCGUACAA